GAGCAAUGUAGCUGCUUUUCCUGUGGGCUAUUUUUGUGCAUGAAUAAAACUCAGCGCUGGACCUCUGAGUCUACAGUUUGAGAGCUGGUUCUUCUCUAGCAGGAUCUCAGAGAAGUGGGAAGGUUUUGUUGGAGAGUCUAAGAAGUUUCGUGUGCCUAUAUUUCAGAAGGCGGAUAUUCUGAUGGCUCCUGCACCAAUGAAAAGUCAUGCCAUGCUGCUCAGCAGGAGAUAUUUCUGUGGCUUUUCACUCGCCUUGCUUGCUGCCCAUUUCCUCUCCUCAAAUGCCUGUGGAUAUGAGCCAAUGAGUGGUGAGAACUGCCUUAAUCGUACUUCAAAAUCUGUGCAAAAAGGGGAGACAAUAACAGUGAAAUUUGCUAAUGAUUCAGUUCCUUCAGAACCUUAUUUCGACACCUGCAUUUGGAACAACACAGAUUCCAAAUGGUACAUUUUGUGCCAGUUUAGUGACGGAGUCUGCAAGCCAUACCAUAAGGACUUCAAAGAGAAUGUUUCCGUGACAGUGGGAACUUUUCAUAUAUACAACGUAAGCAAAGAUGCUGGCAGGAUCUAUAAGCUUCUCACCAUUUCUGGAAAAUGUGUGGCCUGGAUCAAUGUCACCGUGUCAGGUGGUGUGUCCUGGACGUACUCCCACAUUGUAAUUACAGUGUUAGCAAACUUAUUAUUAUUAUUAUUUUAAAUGUUGUUGAAUUUUUCUUGUCUUAUCUUACUUUAU